GGGACACGUGGUAUCCUGUCUGAAUAUGGGGGGACCAUCCUCCAAGGCUAAAUACUCCUGACUGACCGAUAGUGAACCAGUACCGUGAGGGAAAGGCGAAAAGAACCCCGGCGAGGGGAGUGAAAAAGAACCUGAAACCGUGUACGUACAAGCAGUGGGAGCACCUUCGGGUGUGACUGCGUACCUUUUGUAUAAUGGGUCAGCGACUUAUAUUCUGUAGCAAGGUUAACCGUAUAGGGGAGCCGCAGGGAAACCGAGUCUUAACUGGGCGUUAAGUUGCAGGGUAUAGACCCGAAACCCGGUGAUCUAGCCAUGGGCAGGUUGAAGGUUGGGUAACACUAACUGGAGGACCGAACCGACUAAUGUUGAAAAAUUAGCGGAUGACUUGUGGCUGGGGGUGAAAGGCCAAUCAAACCGGGAGAUAGCUGGUUCUCCCCGAAAG
rnacentral:rRNA from 1 species